rnacentral:rRNA from 1 species
GACGAACGCUGGCGGCGUGCUUAACACAUGCAAGUCGAACGGAAAGGCCCUGCUUUUGUGGGGUGCUCGAGUGGCGAACGGGUGAGUAACACGUGAGUAACCUGCCCUUGACUUUGGGAUAACCUCAGGAAACUGGGGCUAAUACCGGAUAGGAGCUCCUGCUUCAUGGUGGUGGUUGGAAAGUUUCGGCGGUUGGGGAUGGACUCGCGGCUUAUCAGCUUGUUGGUGGGGUAGUGGCUUACCAAGGCUUUGACGGGUAGCCGGCCUGAGAGGGUGACCGGCCACAUUGGGACUGAGAUACGGCCCAGACUCCUACGGGAGGCAGCAGUGGGGAAUAUUGCACAAUGGGCGGAAGCCUGAUGCAGCAACGCCGCGUGCGGGAUGACGGCCUUCGGGUUGUAAACCGCUUUCGCCUGUGACGAAGCGUGAGUGACGGUAAUGGGUAAAGAAGCACCGGCUAACUACGUG